ACCGAAGCUCGUAGCCGCCUUCGGGCGUGACGGGCGGCUGGUAUCCUCCUUCUGAGGAGUAUAUGGCGCAGCGUGGCCAGGCCUUCGGGUCAUGAAUUUCCACCGUUGCGGCGGACCACUCCUUGGGCAACUCAGUGGGGGCAAUUGGAUCGCCCAUGGGCACCUUUGGCGGCUUCGGCCCUAGGGGUGACCUGGGCUGGGCGUUGGGCUUCGGUUCACGUCCUGACCUCUUAACUAACCCUGACUCCUUCAUAGAAGGUUGCCGGUGGUCCUUUCGCCCUUCGGGGCGGAGUGGCCUCCCGGUUAAGAUAGUUACCUGGUUGAUUCUGCCAGUAGUCAUAUGCUUGUCUCAA
rnacentral:misc_RNA from 1 species